AGUCAACAUCUCUGAGAAGAUUUAAUUGUCGAUGGUACAAAAAAGAAUAAAAAAAACAAAAAUAAGUGAGGGUACCUAAAUUUUUCUCAGCAAAUCGGUUACCACUAAACUUUCAGUUCAUUUUGUGCGCGAUCCGACUCGGUCCUAUCCUUGAUUUGGUCCUCUCCUAUUUCCAAAACAUACCGAAUAAUAAUUAUUGUGAAUCAAUCAUCAAAAAUGGACACAUACACGUUUCUUUGUCUAUCGUUUUCGUGGCUACUGUUUGUAGUUAGCGUGCAUUAUGUAACGUUCGAGCAUUUAACUGUAGUUGGAAGACAUACGAUUGCUACCGUGGGUUUGGGCAUGCUCGCGUUGGGCACUGGACUUUACGUCAUUCAUGAGAGCCAGAGGCGCUUAGCUGAAGAACGAGCUCGCGAACGCGCUCGUGAACACGCUCGUGACGAACACGCUCGUGACGAACAAGCGCCCGCCGAGCACGCGCGAACUAAAGAAGAAUAAAAUAUGAAAAUGAAAAUAUUGCUGUUGGGACUGCACUGGUCCGACCUGUUCAUCUACAAAACACCUGGUGGAGGAGGCCUGCCGGCGGUCGCUGGAGGCCCUCUGACUGGACUAUAUCGACCUGAUACACAACCCCACGUCUUUCAAGAAAUGGGCGAAACCACGCGAAUCCCACAGCAGUAUUUUUUUUUAACAUUUUGACAUAGGUCGUUUAGCCAUUUUUUAAUCAAUUUUUGUAUUCUUAGAUGUAGGUAAGUUUUUUAAUAAAAUUAUAAUCAUCACUUUAUUUUUUGGGUUAGUUAAGGCUCUAUGGUUGUAUUAUGUAUUUCUACAUUGUGUUUGUAUUUGUGUACGUUUAAAUUCCUGCUCUAUCGACUUUUAUUUAAAAUAUUAUCAACAUUUUUUAGUUUUAACAAUUUCUGGCAUUUUCUCGAAUUAGUAACUGGCGUACUAUGUAGGUCUGUAGAAAUUUGCUAGCAGAUUUUUAUAAAAUGAUGUUUAUUAAUUAAUGUUCUUUUUCAACGCCUAGAUUUAUAAAUAAGUCAUA